UUGGCAAUGAGAAGAAAACUACACAGACUCAGCUGCCAUCAGAGGAGAUGUAUGCCUCUCCAUUCACGAGUGCCCUUCCCCUGAGAUCUUCUUUUACUGACUUCACCUGGUCUGCCAGAAGAAGAGGAUUGAAGGAAAAAUACCCACCCACACAAUCGUGUGCUUGCUUGUUCCUAUAUGAAAAGGAAUCCUUUGAAAGGACCUGAGAUGUCUUAUUAGUUUCACAAGAUUCUCUUCUUCUGUUUUCUUUUUAGAGGGAAAAUAACAUGAAUUGAAAAGCAAUUAUAGUCUGAAGCACAGUUAUUACCUGCAUUAAAAAAUCUCUCAUCUUUUCUGCACAUUAUAAUUCUUACAUGGGUUAGCAAGAAAAAUACUUUGUAAUGUCUUUGGACUUUUGAAUAGUAAAAAGUGCAAGAAAAUAAAAUUUGGCUUUCAUAGUCCUAUAAUCCUCAAAAAUAUUAAAAUAAUGUUGUAUAUGUUUGAAUGAUUAUUUUUAAAAAUGCUAGAUCUGGAAUCAAUUUCAAAGACUAUUUGUCUUUGCAGAAGAGAAAAUAAUUGGUUCAUCGGUUACUUAUAUAAAAAGACUAAGAAAGAAGCUAUUAAUUGCUACCAGUUUUAUAUUAUAGGCUUUAAUGUUUAUGAAAGAAUUUUUAUUUUGAAUAAUAUUCACUUAAAGUUGUAAAAGGACGUUUGAAAUACUGAUUGUAGCUCAUUUUAUUUUAAAACUGAAAUGUUCAUUUCUGAAUCUUUUUCUCAUCAUGUAAUUACAAGAAGCCAGUGUUUGAUUUCCUUUGAAGUUCUGUUUAUUGUCCUUGAUUCACUUGUAUACCAGUAGUUUCUUAAAAGGCUCACUUAAAGUUGACAUUUAAAAUAUAGUUAUGCCAAUGAAGUUCCCACUGGACAAUAUCUAACAUGAGUGCUCAUCAUUCUGCUAGGCUCUGUUGUGGUGCUGUUCAACCUGUGGUGGUGAGACUUGUUAAAAAAAAAAUCAGGAAUUUAGGAAUAUGAAUGAUUACCCAACAAGGACAUUACCCUGUCUAAUUCUGAAUUGUAUGGAUAAUUAGAUGUUCCCAAAUUAUUGAAUAUGCUCUUAAUUUGUAUUUAUUGAAAGACUGUUAACUCGGUGUCAUAAAAUUUCUAUUAUUUUGCUAUAAAUUAAUUCAGGUAUAAAAUUUACAAAUUCAUAUCAUGAUUAAAAUUUUUACUUUGUACAAAAGUAGGAGGAGACCUAAACUAUUAACUUUUAUUGUGCAAAAAUAACAGGUUGGGAUUGAUAAAUAAAGAACUUGAUAUAGAAAUUCUGA